GAUCCUGGCUCAGGAUGAACGCUAGCGACAGGCUUAACACAUGCAAGUCGAGGGGCAGCAUAAAAGUAGCAAUACUUGGUGGCGACCGGCGCACGGGUGAGUAACGCGUAUGCAACCUACCUAUCAGAGGGGAAUAACCCGGCGAAAGUCGGACUAAUACCGCAUAAAACAGGGACACCGCAUGGUGAUAUUUGUUAAAGAAAUUCGCUGAUAGAUGGGCAUGCGUUCCAUUAGGUAGUUGGUGAGGUAACGGCUCACCAAGCCGACGAUGGAUAGGGGAACUGAGAGGUUGGUCCCCCACACUGGUACUGAGACACGGACCAGACUCCUACGGGAGGCAGCAGUGAGGAAUAUUGGUCAAUGGGCGAGAGCCUGAACCAGCCAAGUCGCGUGAAGGAAGAAGGAUCUAUGGUUCGUAAACUUCUUUUGCAGGGGAAUAAAGUGCAGGACGUGUCCUGUUUUGUAUGUACCCUGAGAAUAAGGAUCGGCUAACUCCGUGCCAGCCGCGGC
rnacentral:rRNA from 1 species